UAUAGCACUGUGCCUGCUUGGCACUAAUUGUCCUGGUAGAAACACAUGCCAUAGAUAUGAAAUAGUUGAUUCUGCUUUCACUUAGGAGACAUGUCGUGCACAGCUGUGGUUGGGGAAGAGCUUAUGCACAUGCUGGUGUUUUGGAGAAGCAAACAGGCAAAGGAAUUGCAGCUGGUGAUUUGAUUGAUAUGGCUAAACAGCUUGCCAGUGAAUUGUUGUGGUUCCUCCCGCAUCAAACACAGCCAGGGAGCAUACUGUGGGAAGCCAGGUGCCUUCAGAUUACUUCCUUCCUGUCCUGGGGAGUUGCUGAUCAAGGGCUAAAGCACUAAAAAAGGUGAAGUUUCCAUGAGCAGAAUCACAUUUUCAAGCUCAUUAGUUGCUGAGCAGUUUGCCUGCUGACUCAGAUGAAAUGGCACAGCCCUGUGUAAUGAGCUGCUCUGCUCAAUCUGAUCUGCUCAAUACCUGCAUGACCUCUGGCAAGUCAUCAAGGUGGUCUUCAUGUAACCAGAAUCUGAAGAGAAAUGUACCCAGGGCAGCAGACCUUUAUAUGCAAUACUUCCAGCAGGAGUUUAAAUAUCACCAGCAGAACUGUGAAAGCAAGCAAACAAACAGAUAAACGGACCUCAAAUUCAGCAUACGCCUGUCAGAGUAGAAAAAAUAGUUGGGUCCACAAAUCUCUAGUAUAGUUGGUAUAUAAGCUGAAUCAUACUGCAUUGAAUGAGAUUUUUUUCCUAUAGCCAUUUCAUGAAACUCCAUUUUGACCAUUGCGAAAAGUAAAGUGCAGUAGUCUCUUUUUCUUUCCAAUAAAAAUAUCACUUUUUAUAUUGAACCCUGUGGCCACAGAAAAUCCUUGUCCACAGGAAAUACAGAUGCUCAGACAACCUCUAUAGUUAAUUUAAAAAAAGGAAAAUUACUUUUUCUUUCAUGGUCCUCCACAUGUCUUCCCCAAAGAUGAUGGAAUUAUGUAUAUUCAUGAAGGGCAGGAAAAAUGACUUCUUGUUAUAGAAAUAAAAGUGAGGGAUUUUUUCUGCUAAGAAAAAAAUACCAAUCUAUUUUUGUUUUUAUUCCUCAAACUUUAAAGGAAAAAAAUAGCUAAGCUGAUUUAAAUUAAAUUUUACAAAGUGUAUGCUCCUGGGCAGAAAUCUUAUAAAUCCACUUUCGGCCCAAAGCACAUUUUUAUGGCUGAGUUAUAAUAAACCACACAGAAGAGGGAUUCCACUCGAAUUGCUUACAGAAUAUAGUAGCACAAAAGGUAAUAUUGUUAUAAAACUUCACAGUAAUGUUUGAAUUUAGUUGACAGAAACAGCAGGGCUGCUUUUCUUUAGUUUGACCUCUCAUCAUAAGAACCUACUAGAAUCUCAUACUGCAGAGAAUAAAACACAGCCAAAAAUUCAAAGCAGAAAAAUUAUUAAAAUAAUAACAUGAGGCUAGAUUGUCCCAAUGCUAUAAUACAUUUGAUAUAUGAAAGCUGCUAUUCUGAAUGUUUUGGCACUGGAAAAUAAUGAAAAAAAUCAAAGCAUUUGUGAAGUAAGUUCGCAUUCAUCAACAUUUAAAAGCCAAGGUGAUCUGAAACGGACACGGCUAAAUUAAAAACUUAGUUUAUCAGGUAUGUGUUAGCUUACAGUGAAGCUCAGCUUGCAAAAUCGGGUAAUCUGUCUGGUGGUUAUACAACAUAAUGUUGCAUGGCAAUGCAUACAUAUAGGUGACAAGGAGUGUUUGAAAAAAGAAUAAAUAGGAGAGAAGGCUGAACAUCAUCUGAUGAUUAUGCAAAGUACAUAUUAAAGGACUAAUUUUGGCUGUUCACUAUUGUAAUGAAAUGUUUACAUAAAAAUUUCCCCAUAUAGGUGCCUUUGUACCCUUGGGGUAUGUUGCCAGGUUAUUUAAUAAA